GAUGAACGCUGGCGGCGUGCUUAACACAUGCAAGUCGAACGAUGAAGCCCAGCUUGCUGGGUGGAUUAGUGGCGAACGGGUGAGUAACACGUGAGUAACCUGCCCUUAACUCUGGGAUAAGCCUGGGAAACUAGGUCUAAUACCGGAUAGGAGCGCCUACCGCAUGGUGGGUGUUGGAAAGAUUUAUCGGUUUUGGAUGGACACGCGGCCUAUCAGCUUGUUGGUGAGGUAAUGGCUCACCAAGGCGACGACGGGUAGCCGGCCUGAGAGGGUGACCGGCCACACUGGGACUGAGACACGGCCCAGACUCCUACGGGAGGCAGCAGUGGGGAAUAUUGCACAAUGGGCGCAAGCCUGAUGCAGCGACGCCGCGUGAGGGAUGACGGCCUUCGGGUUGUAAACCUCUUUCAGUAGGGAAGAAGCGAAAGUGACGGUACCUGCAGAAGAAGCACCGGCUAACUACGUG
rnacentral:rRNA from 1 species